AAAAGUUGAAGUUUAAAAAAAAAAUGAAAAAAAAAGAAUGAUGAAAAAAAAAAUAUAUCUUCCUAAAAAGAGCAAGAAAUAAGGUUGUUUUUGAAAUAAAAUGUCAUUACUCUUUCUAUAUCAAUUUCAAAAACCCAUCAAUUCCAAAAAAUUUCUUACCUUUGCCUUGGCCUCAAUAUAACCUUUAAAAAAUCCUCAUGAUCAAUAAUUGCAUGUUUUCUGAAGUGUGUGAAUAUUAGAGUCCUG
rnacentral:lncRNA from 1 species